rnacentral:rRNA from 1 species
AUAUCAAUAAGCGGAGGAAAAGAAACCAACAGGGAUUGCCUCAGUAACGGCGAGUGAAGCGGCAACAGCUCAAAUUUGAAAUCUGGCCUCACGGUCCGAGUUGUAAUUUGUAGAGGAUGCUUCGAGCAUGGUCUGGCCUAAGUUCCUUGGAACAGGACGUCAUAGAGGGUGAGAAUCCCGUAUGCGGCCAGGUGCCUACGCUCAUGUGAAGCUCCUUCGACGAGUCGAGUUGUUUGGGAAUGCAGCUCAAAAUGGGUGGUAAAUUUCAUCUAAAGCUAAAUAUUGGCCAGAGACCGAUAGCGCACAAGUAGAGUGAUCGAAAGAUGAAAAGCACUUUGGAAAGAGAGUUAAACAGUACGUGAAAUUGUUGAAAGGGAAGCGCUUGCAACCAGACUUGCGUGCGGCCGAUCAUCCGGUGUUCUCACCGGUGCACUCGGUCGCGCUCAGGCCAGCAUCGGUUUUGGUGGUUGGAUAAAGGCCCUAGGAAUGUAGCUUCUCUCGGGGAGUGUUAUAGCCUAGGGUGCAAUGCAGCCCACCGGGACCGAGGACCGCGCUUCGGCUAGGAUGCUGGCGUAAUGGUUGUAAGCGACCCGUCUUGAAACACGGACCAAGGAGUCUAACAUCUAUGCGAGUGUUUGGGUGUCAAACCCAUACGCGUAAUGAAAGUGAACGGAGGUGAGAACCCUUAAGGGUGCAUCAUCGACCGAUCCUGAUGUCUUCGGAUGGAUUUGAGUAAGAGCAUAGCUGUUGGGACCCGAAAGAUGGUGAACUAUGCCUGAAUAGGGUGAAGCCAGAGGAAACUCUGGUGGAGGCUCGCAGCGGUUCUGACGUGCAAAUCGAUCGUCAAAUUUGGGCAUAGGGGCGAAAGACUAAUCGAACCAUCUAGUAGCUGGUUCCUGC